GGCGGCCGUAACUAUAACGGUCCUAAGGUAGCGAAAUUCCUUGUCGGGUAAGUUCCGACCUGCACGAAUGGUGUAACCAUGGCCACGCUGUCUCCACCCGAGACUCAGUGAAAUUGAAAUUGCAGUGAAGAUGCUGUGUACCCGCACCUAGACGGAAAGACCCCGUGAACCUUUACUACAGCUUGGCACUGAACAUUGACCCUACAUGUGUAGGAUAGGUGGGAGGCUAUGAAGCAUUGUCGCCAGAUGAUGUGGAGCUGCCCUUGAAAU
rnacentral:rRNA from 1 species